GAAAUAUUUGAAGGCAAAUAGAGUUUUUAUGAGUUUCUUGGUUGAAAAUUUAAUCCAAGUUGAUCACACGGAAGUUGCCGAUGUGAAGGAAGAAGCAAGGGGGAUUGGUGACGAGCCUCGGUCUGGCGUAGAACGCCGACAUAAAACCAAGGCUACCCCGUGAGAUCGGCCUCAUUUGCCGCUUGAUUUCGCCGAUAACAGAAGAGAAAUUUUGAAGUCUUGGAUAUUUUCAAUCCUUCACAUCUUGUGUUAAAUAUAUAUUGGUAAGAAAUCAUUUUAGCAAUUAACUUUCAUUUAACUUACAAAGUUUUGUUUACGAUCUUAACUAUUUCUCUUGUAUUGAUUUUACUAAAUAUAAUAUUUUGUGUUUGGAUUUGUGUUUUAAGUCAACGUUUAGACAUGGCAAACACCGACCCUAAAGUUAUCAUUUUAGGUCACUCUUUUGUAAAACGUCUUCAGCGUGAUUUAAAUUCAUCUUUCGAUCCAAGGGCACGUAAAGAUUUUAAACUUCGAGGUACAGCUCCUGUCUCUUUACACGGCGUAGGAGGCAGAACUGUGAGUAAACUACGCCAAUUUGAUUUAAACAUUUUGAGUCGAUUACGUCCAGUUAUUGUUAUUCUGGAAAUAGGAACUAACGAUCUCAGCCAUCAAAGGCCUGAGGUUGUUGGAUCCUCGAUCGAUGAUUUAGUUUGCCAUAUUCUAGGCGAAUUUUCGAGCGUCCGAGCUAUAGGUGUUUGCCAUGUGAUUCCCCCGCAGUUAUUUGUAUCUGGCGGCCGAACAAUUUUUUUAAAAGGUAAAGCUUUUGAAUCAAUACCUAAGCGUUGUAUUGGAGCAAUAUCCUAAUGUUUUUUGUUGGCAACACAAGCAAUUUAACAGUAUAUUUAAGGAUUUAUAUUUACAUGACGGCGUUCACCUCAAUAGAUUAGGUCAAUAUUUUUUAUACCGUAGUUAUCGAGGUGCCAUAUUACAAGUUUUGAGCAUGCUGCAGUGAUAGGUUUAGGUGAGUAGCACUAGCCGCUGCGUCAACCAUGUGUUUGAUAAGGUUAUCGUGUUACCUUUUUACAUUUGUAAUUAGUUUUUAUUAAUUCCUAGUUUGCCAAUUUUGAAGUAACACUGUCAUUGUAUUUAUAUCAUGGGGAUAUAGUAAUUUAUUGAGAUAUUGGCAUUGUCCAGCUCACUUUAAUUUAUAUCGGUAAUUUAAUGCUAUUUAAGGUGGCUCCCUAGGGUUUUUUAAUUUACUACACUAUAGUAUUCAGGAGACUCCUGUUUCUUUACUUUACAUGAUAUGAAGACGAAAUUUAUUGGACACAUUGACAAUGUUCUCCUGAACAUUACAAAUUUCUACUUUUGUGUUAAAAAUAUGUUGUCAUGGCAACAGCAUGCUUAGAAUAAAGCUCAUAAUUUGUCUUUUUCAGGUCAUUUUAAAAAGUUCCUUCGGUGAAAUUUUUUAAAACUUUGUAUAAAAGAUAAUACUUGUAUAAUUAUUUUCCCCCCUCAAUUAAAAAAAAUUAAAUCGAUACGUUUCUUAGAAAAUUUAAAAAACGUCAAAAAUGAAUAUUAAAAAUUUUCCCUUCGAUUUAAUUUUAAGAAAAAAGGAUAUUGCACUUGUUGUACCGAUAUUAAAAAAAUGUGCAAAAUUUUAAAAAAAUUUCCCGAAGGAAAACGGAGAAAUUUGGGUUCAAUUUUGGCAAUUUUUACUAGAUUUUUACGCGAACAAUUUAAUACCCCACUGACGUGUACAUGCAUUCUGCAUAAAACAACAAGGCAUGACUUUUUCGAAAUCACAAAAUAUAAAUUAUGUUCGAUAUACUGUUUAUAACUGUGUCGGUUAAUGGUCAACUAAGCGUGGAUUAUACAUGUAAAAAUGGCAAAGAUAUUUAGGUAAUUACUGGUUAUGACUUCUUGGUAUUAAUUUGAAAAAUGUUUGUCAAAAUUCGUCCCGUGCGAGUAUACUAUCGUCGGAUGUUUUCGCAAAAUGCCCGUUCAAAUUUCAGUUUUUAUAGCGAUAUGUUUGGAGUUUCGGCCCUGCUCAUUUCACCCGUAGUGGGCUCAUUAUUUAAGUCAUCUUUAUUGUCAUAAGUGCUGCUAGAUUGUGGAGAAAACACUGCAAAUUCUUGAGGAAACUUUAUAUCCUAAUGUUCACGAUUGAACCUCGCGUACGUCGGUUCAAAAAACAUCCAGAAUACCGCUUGAAAAAAAACAAGUUUACAUUAUCUUCUUUUGAACAUCACAUCCAAGUAUCGUUUUGGCUUUUAGAACUCUUUUAUGCUUUCAACUGAAGCAAAGUUCACACUUUUGUUUCAAAAAAGAGUUCCAUAUAAAACACAACGUUCGUUCGUAUUUUGAAGUCACACGAGUUUUAUUUUACAUAUAUACGAAGAACGUAACCCCCGGAAAUAAAACCCUAGGGAGCCAUCUUAACAUGAGCAUUUGGCUGUUUAUAAGUUGGCCUUUACUGCCAGUGUGGGUUUAUAACUCUAACUUAUAUCAUUUGGUAGGUUUACAAUUGUGCCAGUGAGGUCUUUGUUACCUUUUGGCGAUAUAUUAUAUAUUUUUCAUGCCAGUGUGGUUUAAUAUAAUCAUUUGGCACUUUUUCAAUUUUGUCAGUGAUGUCUUUGUUACCUUUUGGCGACAUAUUAUAUAUUUUUCAUGCCAGUGUGGUUUAAUAUAAUCAUUUGGCAGGUCUACAAUUUUGCCAGUGAGGUCUUUGUUACCCCUUUUGGCGAUAUAUUAUAUAUUUUUCAUGCCAGUGUGGUUUAAUAUAAUCAUUUGGCAGGUCUACAAUUUUGCCAGUGAGGUCUUUGUUACCUUUUGGCGGUAUAUUAUAUAUUUUUCAUGCCAGUGUGGUUUAAUAUAAUCAUUUGGCAGGUCUACAAUUUUCCCAGUGAGGGCUUUGUUACCUUUUGGCGAUAUAUUAUAUAUUUUUCAUGCCAGUGUGGUUUAAGAUAAUCAUUUGGUUUGUUACAUUUUUCCAGUGAGGUCUUUGUUACCUUUUGGCGAUAUAUUAUAUAUUUUUCAUGCCAGUGUGGUUUAUUAUAAUCAUUUUGGCUUCUUUACACUUUUGCCAGUGAGGUGCGCUGCCUUUUGGCUAGUUGUGUUUAUAAAAAUUUGGAUGCCAGUGUGGGGUUUAUAUAACUUUUCAGGUCAAAUAGCUGCCAAGUUAUGUAUGUUUCUUUCAUAUAGUAUAAUAUGCCUCGACGUGUAACACGAUCCACCUCGAAUCCGGGUCCAAGCGCAGCAGACGUUGUUUCAACUGUGAACCGCCCAGCUGUAAAACGUCCAGCCAAAAAGGCAACUCGACCAGCAAAGAAAUCAAGGUCAACAUCCAGCCAAAUACCUGUACAAGUGGUUGAAGCUGCAGCAACAACACUGACCCCAGAUCUACUUGAGCAGCUGGUGACAAAGGUUGCUGAUGUUGUGACACAGAGACUAUCUGGAAGUUCCAUGAGUACCAAUCCAACCGCUUCAGUCAGCCUACCAGGGUCGUCGAGUCCACAUCCGCCAGAUGCCAGCAUUCUACAGCAGCCAGUAGACCACAACAUCUUGCAGGAAGUCCAACCUACAAUAGAUUCCCUGGUCGAAGUAGCUGUGGGGCAGUCCCAAGAAGCUAUCGCAGGUAUACGUUAUGGUGAUACACCAUCUAUUCCAAAAACUAUUUUUCAUUCAAGCAGCCUGGAAAUAGAUUCUAGAGUGAACGAUAGAGUAAAAGCCAAAAUUUGGAAUAAUGAAUAUGUGGAAUUUAGUACCCUUAUUUCUAGUCAAGGGAACAAUAAGUUCCAAUUGUCGUUUCAAAGUUUAGAGGGUAAUAAUGGCCCAUCUAUUUGUCUCGAGCCAAUUAACCGGAGCCAAAAAAUUUUCAAUAUUAAUCAAUGGCUCCAAGCAUUUCAUAUAUUUGUAGGAGUCUACACUCGUAGAUUUCCAAGUGAAUCCCCGGGGUUGAUGAAGUACUGUGAAAUAAUCCAAGACUUAGUGUCACGGGGUUUCAACUGGAAAUUUUAUGAUGAGAACUUCCGUUUUUUAAGACAAAAUCCUGCUUCAGCCUUGCCUUGGGGAAGUGUUCACUGGGAGC